UCCCAAGGGUAUGGCUGUUCGCCAUUUAAAGUGGUACGCGAGCUGGGUUUAGAACGUCGUGAGACAGUUCGGUCCCUAUCUGCCGUGGGCGCUGGAGAACUGAGGGGGGCUGCUCCUAGUACGAGAGGACCGGAGUGGACGCAUCACUGGUGUUCGGGUUGUCAUGCCAAUGGCACUGCCCGGUAGCUAAAUGCGGAAGAGAUAAGUGCUGAAAGCAUCUAAGCACGAAACUUGCCCCGAGAUGAGUUCUCCCUGAGACUUAGAGUCUCCUGAAGGAACGUUGAAGACGACGACGUUGAUAGGCCGGGUGUGUAAGCGCAGCGAUGCGUUGAGCUAACCGGUACUAAUGAACCGUGAGGCUUAACCUU
rnacentral:rRNA from 1 species